GUAUAGCUCAGUAGUAGAGCGCAGCUUAGCAUGUAUGAGGUCCUGGGUUCAAUCCCCAGUAC
rnacentral:tRNA from 1 species